CGUGCCUAAUACAUGCAAGUCGAGCGAACUGAUUAGAAGCUUGCUUCUAUGACGUUAGCGGCGGACGGGUGAGUAACACGUGGGCAACCUGCCUGUAAGACUGGGAUAACUUCGGGAAACCGAAGCUAAUACCGGAUAGGAUCUUCUCCUUCAUGGGAGAUGAUUGAAAGAUGGUUUCGGCUAUCACUUACAGAUGGGCCCGCGGUGCAUUAGCUAGUUGGUGAGGUAACGGCUCACCAAGGCAACGAUGCAUAGCCGACCUGAGAGGGUGAUCGGCCACACUGGGACUGAGACACGGCCCAGACUCCUACGGGAGGCAGCAGUAGGGAAUCUUCCGCAAUGGACGAAAGUCUGACGGAGCAACGCCGCGUGAGUGAUGAAGGCUUUCGGGUCGUAAAACUCUGUUGUUAGGGAAGAACAAGUACGAGAGUAACUGCUCGUACCUUGACGGUACCUAACCAGAAAGCCACGGCUAACUACGUGCCAGCAGCCGCGGUAAUACGUAGGUGGCAAGCGUUAUCCGGAAUUAUUGGGCGUAAAGCGCGCGCAGGCGGUUUCUUAAGUCUGAUGUGAAAGCCCACGGCUCAACCGUGGAGGGUCAUUGGAAACUGGGGAACUUGAGUGCAGAAGAGAAAAGCGGAAUUCCACGUGUAGCGGUGAAAUGCGUAGAGAUGUGG
rnacentral:rRNA from 1 species